rnacentral:rRNA from 1 species
AUUGAACGCUGGCGGCAGGCCUAACACAUGCAAGUCGAGCGGAUGAAGGGAGCUUGCUCCUGGAUUCAGCGGCGGACGGGUGAGUAAUGCCUAGGAAUCUGCCUGGUAGUGGGGGAUAACGUCCGGAAACGGGCGCUAAUACCGCAUACAUCCUGAGGGAGAAAGUGGGGGAUCUUCGGACCUCACGCUAUCAGAUGAGCCUAGGUCGGAUUAGCUAGUUGGUGGGGUAAAGGCCUACCAAGGCGACGAUCCGUAACUGGUCUGAGAGGAUGAUCAGUCACACUGGAACUGAGACACGGUCCAGACUCCUACGGGAGGCAGCAGUGGGGAAUAUUGGACAAUGGGCGAAAGCCUGAUCCAGCCAUGCCGCGUGUGUGAAGAAGGUCUUCGGAUUGUAAAGCACUUUAAGUUGGGAGGAAGGGCAGUAAGUCAAUACCUUGCUGUUUUGACGUUACCAACAGAAUAAGCACCGGCUAACUUCGUG